UUUGUACUGUCAGUAACACAAUUUUAUUCCAAUGUUAUGACAACGAGAUGUCGAGAGCCUGUUUAAUGGAAAUAUCAGUUGUAAAAGCUAUCAUUGUUAUAUGUUAUGAACAAACAUUCGUCCUUGGAAUUCAAGAGACGGCUUAUGAUACAGAAUAUAUAAUAAAAUUGAAGGAAUAAACAGACGCACUAGCUUUCUGUAAGGACUGGUAUAAUUUUAAAGGUGGUACUAUCAGAAUGAGGAGUGCUCGUUUCAGUGGAGAAUAAAUUGUAUUUAUUUCGUGCACAGACUCCACCAGAAAGUAUCACGGAAGAUUUAUGAUAGCUUUACUAACACGCGUAUAUGAAGAGGGGUAGUCACUUUUUUUUUUUCUAGGUCUGUAAAUAGCCUGCGAAGGUUAACAAGUCAUUUGUGCCGGAUGCACCAGUAAUUUUGUAUGUGGCGCUUUUUGAGCACGAGUCACUAUAAUGUUGCUGCCUUAGCCUGAAAACUGUUCGGAUGCAUCUAUCUGCACUAGUCUUCCAUGUGCAAACCUCUGUACCGCAAUGUAACUUCUGUGAGGUUCAUCCUCAUUAAGUUCUUUUUUCCGAUAUUUUAAUACUAUAGUUAGAUGUUCAGUAUAGUUAUAUAAAUUUAAACACUCUUCUGUAGCAAUAUAUUCCAAAAUCUUCUUUUUUGUCCGCACCUUUCAUCGACAUUUUACUUCUGUCCUAGCUCUCAAAUCUAGUGACAGCACAUGAUUUGAUUAGACUAUAUUCAUUUACACGUGGUUUUCUUAAAUUUUGUCGAUCUUCUCAUUUUUCAGACACUUAUUCUUUAUUGCUUAUUAGUUUUCCUCUGCUGCCUUCACUAUUUCAUCAUUUAAAGCUAUCCUUUCAUCUACUGUUUUAUUUCUUACGCCUGCCAGUCACUGCUUAAUGUUCCCUCUGAACACUAGCGCUGUUACAUCUUGUACAGUUCCCAUUUCAUUAGCUUACUACUUCACGCAAUUCUCAGCCUUUAAUCACCACAUUUUAAGAGCGUAUUUUAUAUUCCAACGACAUUGGCAGAGUUAAGUUGUCAGCGAUAAGUCAGGCUGAAAGCUCACAACCACACUUGCCACAUUCAUUUAUGUACUUUGUUCCAAAAAUCCCAGGAUGGAAAGAAUUACGGAUGCAUGCAACAGCAGCCAUAACACUGGUAAUUUUAUCACCUGUGACUUGGUCACACAACCAGGACUUUAAGCUGGUGGUUCAUCAGGGUUAUUGAUGGAUUUGGCAGCAAAUGAAAAGGCUGUACAUGCAGAUUUCUUUAAUGAUUUUGAGGAUCUGUACGAUGACGAAGAUCUACAGUGACCAUUCAAACAAAUGUGCUUGUGU